UUAAUUUAUUAAUUAAGUUUACUCAGACUGCAAAGUUACGCAAGAGUUUGAAGUGUCCACCCGGAGCCCCCGCCCGAAGGCAGGGUCGCCCCGGAGGCAACAGAGUCGGACAACAAAGGGUUAUGAACAUCCCGGUGGUAAGACCGGGGUCACUUGUAAUGAUCCUUCCGCAGGUUCACCUACGGAAA
rnacentral:misc_RNA from 1 species